UCAGAAGAUAAAUUAAAACCA
ensembl:piRNA 21ur-4947 ncRNA